UACGUAGGGGGCAAGCGUUGUCCGGAUUUAUUGGGCGUAAAGCGCGUGUAGGCGGCCCUGUAAGUCGGGUGUGAAAUCCCACGGCUCAACCGUGGAAGUGCACUCGAAACUACAGGGCUAGAGUCCUGGAGAGGAAGGUGGAAUGCUUGGUGUAGAGGUGAAAUUCGUAGAUAUCAAGCGGAACACCGGUGGCGAAGGCGGCCUUCUGGACAGUGACUGACGCUGAGACGCGAAAGCGUGGGGAGCAAACAGG
rnacentral:rRNA from 1 species